UAUCAUUUCAAUUAGUGCUGGUCAAUUAUGAAAAAUAAGUAAAAUUGACUAGCAAAAACUUGUGAGAAUUGGGUGGGGCCGCUGCUUCAAAUAUUUGAGUGGCUCCUUCCCUAACAGAUGUAAUUUCACUCCAAACUUUUCAUAAAACUUGAGAGCCCUGCAACUGUAUAUAUAUAUAUUUACUGUGCACACUAUAACCCUGACCAGCAGUCUGUGAGUGAAGAAAGCCUGACUGGCACCACCUGACUGCCGGCCAUGGAUUUACAGGCACAACAAACACGGGAAGAAAGGGCGGCGUUAAUAACAUUUCGCUACUUCAGACUGCAAGACAACAGUUGUACUUGUUUAGACAAGUAUUGCGUGUCAGUAGAAAAUACCAUGGAAACAGUUUACAGUACACAAUUUUCUUUCAUUUCAUAGAUAUUCCACAGGUUUAUUUUUCCUCUCGCCCUGCUCCAUUGUUUUUUUUUCUCAGGGAAGUGGCGGUGUGCGGACAUUCUCAUAAUGGAUACAGAACUUUCUAAAACUGAUGACAACUGUGGCGAUCACUCCACUACUGAACAGGGCAUGGAAAAAACACAGCAGUCCUUGGAACCCUGUGAGAAACCUGACGAUAAACAGUCAAAAUCUAAGCAGGCCGCUAGCAAUGAGAUCCCAGAAAAGAUGCCUGCCGCAGUGGUUGAGGCACCUGGAGAAGAGCAAAAUCCAAAACAAAAAGGACAGAAGAAGAAACCCAGAAAUCCAUUUAUGCCCCAGGUUGCCGCAAAGGUAAAAAAUAAAUAGUCAUGUUUACUUUUUUAAAAUCCUCACAGUUGUUAGUUAAUGGA
rnacentral:lncRNA from 1 species